rnacentral:rRNA from 1 species
AUGGCCUCGCCACGCGAGCGACGCGUCCGCACUAUCCUCCACCAUCAGGCCCGGCACAUUCUGCUCGAGCCAGUAACCUUGCGGCUGCCCAGAUCGUCGGCAGUCCGCCGUCCUGCUCGUCUUUGUGGAGAGCUGCUCCUCGCACACGCUCUCCGUCGUGCGUCCAGAAUCCGGCGACGGCCGUGUGCCGGAGCAUCCCUCCUCCGGCGCCCACUCAACCACGAUGACCUGCCUGCGCGUCACCACCUCGAAACCGUCCGCGGCAGCCGUGCGAGCCCGUCUGCGGCGACCAUGCCCGGCUGGACUACCAAGAGGAACGACACGACGCCGUUUUUACUGGAUCUCACGUGGGGCCUGCGUUCUUUGGCUGUGUUGCGUGAGCUUGGUGGGUGGGCGUGUUUCGUGUCGGUGAGGCGUGUGGCUAUAUGCCGAGACGCAGCCGGCUCGCCACCGGUGUCCCUUCGCCGGCUCAUCGCCGUACGUGACCACUGCCCAGCCGCUGAAGCCGCCAAGGUCGUACCGCGUCCUGCCCCACCCACAGACCAGCCCAUCGCUUCUCUUGCGGCCGCCGCCGAUAUCGGGGCCAGCGUUGCCAGGGAAAGCAAGGAGAAAAAGAAGACCAGGAGGAAGAACAGAAGGAAGUCGGCAUCGUUCGCGUGCCUUCUGAACGCUCUGCUUUGCAACCGGAAGCCGCCGACCGCCGGCAAGCGGCGGGGGGUCGCGGUGGACAAGGAGGAGCACGCCCAUCGAGCUAGGAUGAUGGCGAGGAUGACCAAUGCUAGCGGGAGAGAGGGACAGGUCAAGGAGAGCAACGAGCCCAACUCCGACCUGUUCGAGCUUGAGAGCUUGCCGCUGGCGCUGGACGAUACAAUAUGUAUAUGCCAACACACCAUCCUCAGAUAUUGCUUUGGGUUUGGUGGUUUAACCACUAAAAGAAACAAACAGAGCUCCAUCGUCAAGAAACCACCACCGAGUUGCUUGCCGGAAUCAAUGGCGACCACCAAGAAGAGGGAGAUGGUGUUCUUCGACGUGGAGGCUGCGCAGUCCCCGUCGCUGCCCGGCGAGUGCAGCCUCCUGGAGUUCGCCGCCAUCCUUGUCUGCCCGCGCCGCCUCGUCGAGUCUGCCGGCCGCGCACUCCCGCCUGCGGGAAUGGCUGCCGGCGAGCGGAGCCAGGGGAUGCUGAGAUGCGGAGGCGCAGAGCUGGCCCGGAGCUCCUUCAUCCUGCCGUCCCUGUGCGCGGCGAGGCGAGAGAAGGAGAAGGAGAAGAGAGGAGUUGCAACCGAGAGAAAGGGGAUGGGUGUGUGGAGGGGAGCACGUGGGUGGGCCAGGAAGGGAAAGGGACGGGAGAGACGCUGGCAGGUGGGCCUGCGCAUGCAAAAGGCAAACACCGGCGUCCCCAGCUGCUCCCCCGGGAGCUGGGUGUGGGGUGGGCGCGCCGGCCGUAACAUUCGCCAAAUCCGGCUAAAAAUGAGCUCUUGGGUGCCUGACUGGGAAGAUUUUUUACAGCCGGCGCUAAAAAAUGGGGGAUAUAGCAGGGGACUGUUCGGCAGCAGCCUAGCUUCCAAAUCCUCUAAAUCUGUGGAGGAGUUGCACCGAACAGUCAAACUCCAGGAAGCUAGCUUCCCAGAUCUGAGGAUGCCCGACGUGCAAAAAACUGGAAGAAUAGAAAUCCCCAAUUCUUCCCUCCAAAUCCCUAGUUCUCGCCGCCGCCGUGCCCAUCCUGCCCUCUCGCCGCCGCGCGCCCAUCCUGCCCUCUCGCCGCCGCGCGCCCAUCCUGCCCUCGCCCCCGACGACCACUGCGCCAUGUCUUCUGCUAGUUCUGCCCUGUCUGGUCUCCGCGGCCGGACAGUGGUGGUGCCACUCAUCCCAUGUCCUCGCUGCCAGGCGACAGUGAGGUACUACGUUUCGAACACAGAGGAUCACGAGGGCUGGGUGUUCUAUAGAUGUCCCAAUCACUCUGCUACUGGGUGUGAUUUCUGGUUUUGGGAGAUGGAAUAUGUUGCGUACCUAGUAGAUGCUCAUUGUUUGGAUACACAACCUGAAUUGGGGCAGGGGCACCGUCGGGGCGACGAACAGGAGACAUGGCGACGGCGCCUCCUCUUCACCACCGCGAGAAGAAACCCCUCCACGCCGACCACGGCGACGACCACGCCGCACCACGGCGACGAGCACGCCGCACCAUGCCGCACCUCCGUCGCCUUCUCCGCCGGUUUGAUCGUCUCGAACAGGGGAGGUGGAGACGGGGGAGGACUGGGGGAUCUGUCUGAUAACUUGGGGGGUGGGCUACAAAUAUGCCAUCGGGUCGCUCCUCCUCGCGACACCUGGCGCGCGGACUGGGAGCCGGACGGUCAACAGGUGGUCAACAGGCGGCGAAAAGUGAGAUCUGGAGUUGGCCUAAUUUAUGAAGUAAUGCCACCGCCAAGUGAUUCACGUAACGGUUCGUUGCCUUUUCCCUCCGAUCUGGGCCAAGCCCACUCUCUCUCCCCUCCUGUCUACCUCUUGAGCCGACUGGGCUCCAGCCCGCCCAGGCAGGCUGGCCUGCUGGCGUGA